UACGGAGGGUGCAAGCGUUAUCCGGAUUCACUGGGUUUAAAGGGUGCGUAGGCGGGCAGGUAAGUCAGUGGUGAAAUCUCCAAGCUUAACUUGGAAACUGCCGUUGAUACUAUCUGUCUUGAAUAUUGUGGAGGUGAGCGGAAUAUGUCAUGUAGCGGUGAAAUGCUUAGAUAUGACAUAGAACACCAAUUGCGAAGGCAGCUCACUACACAAUCAUUGACUCUGAGGCACGGAAGCGUGGGGAUCAAACAGG
rnacentral:rRNA from 1 species